rnacentral:rRNA from 1 species
AGAGUUUGAUCCUGGCUCAGGAUGAACGCUGGCGGCAUGCCUAAUACAUGCAAGUCGUGCGGUAACACUUCGGGUGACGAGCGGCGGACGGGUGAGUAAUGAGUUAGUAUUUGCCCCAAACUGAGGGAUAAGCCAUCGAAAGGUGGUCUAAUACCACAUGUGGUCUUCGGAUUAAAGCCUUCGGGCGGUUUGGGAGAAGCUUGCUCCUGAUUAGUUAGUUGGUAGGGUAACGGCCUACCAAGGCAACGAUCAGUAACUGGUCUGAGAGGAUGAUCAGUCACACUGGAACUGAGACACGGUCCGGACUCCUACGGGAGGCAGCAGUAGGGAAUUUUCCACAAUGGGGGCAACCCUGAUGGAGCAAUGCCGCGUGCAGGACGAAGGCCUUCGGGUCGUAAACUGCUUUUAUAGGGGAUGAUUGUGACAGUACCCUAAGAAUAAGGAUCGGCAAACUCCGUGCCAGCAGCCGCGGUCAUACGGAGGAUCCAAGCGUUGUCCGGAAUUACUGGGCGUAAAGAGAUGCGUAGGCGGUCCGGCAAGUUUCUACUGAAAGCUUAAGGCUCAACCUUGAGACUAGUAGAAAAACUGCUGAACUAGAGAAUAUGAGGGGAAGCUAGAAUUUCUGGUGUAGGAGUGAAAUCCGUAGAUAUCAGAAGGAAUACCAAUGGCGAA